UGAUGAUGAUUAUGCUGAUGAUGAUGAUGGUGCUGAUGAUGAUGAUGAUAACGAUGAAGAUUAUGAUGAUCGUCGUCAUCAUCCUCAUCGCCAUCGUCAUCGUCGUCGUUAUAU
rnacentral:pre_miRNA from 1 species